AAAUCUUUAUUAUUUGUGUGUUGUUGAACUGCCGGCCAAAGAUUUAAAGAAAGGUCCAAAAAUAAGUCCUCUUCUGCAACCCAGAACUUGCUGUUCAGAAUGAGUUUUGAUACAUAUGAGAAGGACUGU
ensembl:snoRNA